AUUGAACGCUGGCGGCAUGCCUUACACAUGCAAGUCGAACGGUAACAGGUCUUCGGAUGCUGACGAGUGGCGAACGGGUGAGUAAUACAUCGGAACGUGCCUAGUAGUGGGGGAUAACUACUCGAAAGAGUGGCUAAUACCGCAUGAGAUCUACGGAUGAAAGCAGGGGAUCGCAAGACCUUGUGCUACUAGAGCGGCCGAUGGCAGAUUAGGUAGUUGGUGGGAUAAAAGCUUACCAAGCCGACGAUCUGUAGCUGGUCUGAGAGGACGAUCAGCCACACUGGGUCUGAGACACGGCCCAGACGCCUACGGGAGGCAGCAGUGGGGAAUUUUGGACAAUGGGCGCAAGCCUGAUCCAGCAAUGACGCGUGCAGGAUGAAGGCCUUCGGGUUGUAAACUGCUUUUGUACGGAACGAAAAGCCCUGGGUUAAUACCCUGGGGUCAUGACGGUACCGUAAGAAUAAGCACCGGCUAACUACGUGCCAGCAGCCGCGGUAACAC
rnacentral:rRNA from 1 species